UACGAAGGGUGCAAGCGUUAAUCGGAAUUACUGGGCGUAAAGCGUGCGUAGGCGGCCUUGUAAGUCGGAUGUGAAAGCCCCGGGCUUAACCUGGGAAUGGCAUUCGAGACUGCGAGGCUAGAGUUUGGGAGAGGGUGGUGGAAUUCCCGGUGUAGCGGUGAAAUGCGUAGAGAUCGGGAGGAACAUCAGUGGCGAAGGCGGCCACCUGGCCUAAAACUGACGCUGAGGCACGAAAGUGUGGGGAGCAAACAGG
rnacentral:rRNA from 1 species